rnacentral:rRNA from 1 species
UGGGGAAUUUUGGACAAUGGGCGCAAGCCUGAUCCAGCAAUGCCGCGUGAGUGAAGAAGGCCUUCGGGUUGUAAAGCUCUUUUGUCAGGGAAGAAACGGUGGGAGCUAAUAUCUCCUGCUAAUGACGGUACCUGAAGAAUAAGCACCGGCUAACUACGUGCCAGCAGCCGCGGUAAUACGUAGGGUGCAAGCGUUAAUCGGAAUUACUGGGCGUAAAGCGUGCGCAGGCGGUUUUGUAAGUCUGAUGUGAAAUCCCCGGGCUCAACCUGGGAAUUGCAUUGGAGACUGCAAGGCUAGGAUCUGGCAGAGGGGGGUAGAAUUCCACGUGUAGCAGUGAAAUGCGUAGAUAUGUGGAGGAACACCGAUGGCGAAGGCAGCCCCCUGGGUCAAGAUUGACGCUCAUGCACGAAAGCGUGGGGAGCAGACAGGAUUAGAUACCCUGGUAGUCCACGCCCUAAACGAUGUCUGCUAGUUGUCGGGUCUUAAUUGACUUGGUAACGCAGCUAACGCGUGAAGUAGACCGCCUGGGGAGUACGGCCGCAAGAUUA